GACGAACGCUGGCGGCGUGCCUAAUACAUGCAAGUUGAGCGCUGAAGGUUGGUACUUGUACCAACUGGAUGAGCAGCGAACGGGUGAGUAACGCGUGGGGAAUCUGCCUUUGAGCGGGGGACAACAUUUGGAAACGAAUGCUAAUACCGCAUAAAAACUUUAAACACAAGUUUUAAGUUUGAAAGAUGCAAUUGCAUCACUCAAAGAUGAUCCCGCGUUGUAUUAGCUAGUUGGUGAGGUAAAGGCUCACCAAGGCGAUGAUACAUAGCCGACCUGAGAGGGGGGUCGGCCACAUUGGGACUGAGACACGGCCCAAACUCCUACGGGAGGCAGCAGUAGGGAAUCUUCGGCAAUGGACGAAAGGCUGACCGGGCAACGCCGCGUGAGGGAAGAAGGUUUUCGGAUCGUAAAACUCUGUUGGUAGAGAAGAACGUUGGUGAGAGUGGAAAGCUCAUCAAGUGACGGUAACUACCCAGAAAGGGACGGCUAACUACGUG
rnacentral:rRNA from 1 species